GAUGAACGCUGGCGGCGUGCCUAAUACAUGCAAGUCGAGCGAACAGACGAGGAGCUUGCUCCUCUGACGUUAGCGGCGGACGGGUGAGUAACACGUGGAUAACCUACCUAUAAGACUGGGAUAACUUCGGGAAACCGGAGCUAAUACCGGAUAAUAUAUUGAACCGCAUGGUUCAAUAGUGAAAGACGGUUUUGCUGUCACUAUAGAUGGAUCCGCGCCGCAUUAGCUUAUGUGUAAGGUAACGGCUUACCAAGGCAACGAUUCGUAGACGACCUGAAAGGGUGAUCAGCCACACUGGAACUGAGACACGGUCCAGACUCCUACGGGAGACAGCAGUAGAGAAUCUUACGCAAUGGGCGAAAGCCUGACGGAGCAACGCCGCGUGAGUGAUGAAGGUCUUCGGAUCGUAAAACUCUGUUAUUAGGGAAGAACAAAUGAGUAAGUAACUAUGCACGUCUUGACGGUACCUAAUCAGAAAGCCACGGCUAACUACGUG
rnacentral:rRNA from 1 species